UACGUAGGGGGCAAGCGUUGUCCGGAAUCAUUGGGCGUAAAGCGCGUGUAGGCGGCCAGAAAAGUCCGCUGUGAAAACUCGAGGCUCAACUUCGAGCUGUCGGUGGAAACUUUCUGGCUAGAGUCCGGAAGAGGAGAAUGGAAUUCCUGGUGUAGCGGUGAAAUGCGCAGAUAUCAGGAAGAACACCCGUGGCUAAGGCGGUUCUCUAGUACGGUACUGACGCUGAGACGCGAAAGCGUGGGGAGCGAACAGG
rnacentral:rRNA from 1 species